CUUGAAUCCACGCAGACCCUAUGCCCUUAACCAUUAAGUCACCAAGAUAAAGCUUUGUAGAGGGGAGCCCAGCUCCACUGGUGAUCCUGAUCGGGCCUGCAGAGCCGGCAGCCUAUUCAGGCCUGCAUCUCCGCCACUGGCACAGGCCCUGGUACCUUCCAAGCCUGCUCCGUAGGUAGGCUUACUGGGAUACACAUGGCUUAUUAUUAAUUUAAUAGGGCUGACUCACUGACCAAAACUUAAAGCCAGGGGCACCUGGGUGCUCAGAUCUUGAGUGCAGGGUGCUGGGUCCUGGGGUCCGGCCUGCCUGCCCGCCCCCCUCGCCCCCUGGAUGGGCAGCCUGCUUCUCCCUCUCCAACGACUGCGCUCCCCGGCUCGCCCUCUCUCAAAUAAAUAAAAUCUUAAAAACAACCGAAAGCCAAUGUGACGUAUUCUUUGCCUGGGGAAAUCAUCAUGGACCCGGCAGCCAUGGGAGUCUGGGGGUCGAGUCCAGUCCUAGAAACCAGAGACCCUCUCUCAGGAGCACCGGAAGUGAGGGGGGCGCGGGCCCGGGAGCCGGGGGACAACAGGAAGUGCAGCACCGGCCCAGGCACAGGUAGGGCCCGCAGACAGGCCGGCCCGCUGCGGUGGGGAGGACUGGCUUCCGGGGAGGGACAGCUUGUGGGGCGGACCGGGCCCGGGAGGAAGCGACGCUCAAGACUGCGGGGACGCUUGGGAGCGGCGGCAAGUACGCUCCGGACCUCUUGUCGGAAUUGGACCAGCCCCGAAUCACCCCCUCGUCUCCGAGGUUCACGGACCAGGAAGGCCACGUCCGCUGCGAGAGAACUUGACCGAGGAAGCUGGAAGGGAAGGAACGAAGGAUAAGAAGACACCCAGGAGUGGGCCAGCGGGCUUUGCAGCCUGUGUGACAGACGCCUGCGCGACGGAAAGCCUGCAGCAACAGCCAGUGGAGUAUUAGCGAUGGUUUUAGGAAGAAAGACCCUCCGGAGAGUCUCGUUAGAGAAGAGGAGUUGGGAGAAAACCAAGCCGAAAUGAAAAUGAAUUCAAGGGGAACCCCGGGUGGCCCAGCGGUUUAGCGCCGCCUGCAGCCCGGGGUGAGAUCCUGGAGUCCCUGGAUCAAGUCCCAGGAGUCCCACGUAGGGCUCCCUGCAGGGAGCCUGCUUCUCCCUCUGCCUGUGUCUCUUCCUCUCUCUCUCUCUCUCUGUGUGUCUCAUGAAAAAAUAAAUAAAAUCUUUAAAAAUAAAAGAAUGCUCUG
rnacentral:lncRNA from 1 species